rnacentral:miRNA from 1 species
UGGAAUGUUCCAUAAGUGUGC